GGAAGAAGGGAAAAAAAAAAAAAAGAAAGAAAAAAAAAAAAAAAAGAAGAAGGUGUCGGAAGCAUCGGCAGUAAGAAAACAUGUCAACAGAAUAAAAUAUUAACCAAUGACAGAGAAAAGUGCUCGAAAUCCCACCCCCGGCUCCUUUCCGCAUACCGGGUCAGCCCUGGCUGCGCCGCGGCCGGGGAGCGGCGGCCGCCGGUGCGGGGACAGCGCGGAGCCACCGCGGCGGAGCGCGGAGCGGGACCGGGGGGGGGCCAGGGGGGACCGGGGGCCGCCCCGAAGCUUUCCGCGGCCGCGCAGCCCCGGGCGGGGGCGGAGGGGGGCGGGCGGGGGCGGCGGGUUGGGUGUGUGGGGGGGGAGGUUAGGGGGGGCCGGAGCUCGGCGGCUGCCGUCUUACGACAGAUCCUGGAAAGAGGAUCAAGGUGGGGCCCGCCCCGCUCCGCGCCCCGCCGACGGGGCGGCCCGGGCUCGGGGGCGGCCGUCGGGAGCGCGGCCCCGUCGGCGCGGCCGGGCCGUGGGAGAGCUGCAGGCGGCGAGGCCCCGAGCGGCGAGCUCCAGCGCGGCGAACCCGGAGCCUCGCCUUGCCCCACGCCGGGGGCAACUCUCCCGCGGCCCCGACGGCGACCGCGGCCACCUCCGAGGGGAACGGAGGGGCGCAGCCCACCGGGCCCUGCCGGCAGCCGCGGCCCCGCCAGGAAACGUCGCCUCUCCGCCGGCACAGGGCCUGCCGCCCCCCGCCGCCGCCCCCCGCACCGCUGUAACACCGCAAACUCCCUCGCCUGCAGAAUAAAAACCGAUGCAGAGCA